rnacentral:rRNA from 1 species
UACGGAGGGUGCGAGCGUUGUCCGGAUUUAUUGGGUUUAAAGGGUGCGUAGGUGGUUUUUGUAAGUCAGUGGUGAAAUCCGGUCGCUUAACGAUCGAACUGCCAUUGAUACUGCAAGACUUGGAUAUGUUGGAGGCUGCCGGAAUGGGUGGUGUAGCGGUGAAAUGCAUAGAGAUCACCCAGAACGCCAAUUGCGAAGGCAGGUGGCUACGACAUUAUCGACACUGAGGCACGAAAGCAUGGGGAGCGAACAGG